rnacentral:sRNA from 1 species
AGGAGGUGGGGAUGACGUCAAGUCCUCAUGGCCCUUAUGGGUAGGGCUUCACACGUCAUACAAUGGUCGGAACAGAGGGUUGCCAACCCGCGAGGGGGAGCUAAUCCCAGAAAACCGAUCGUAGUCCGGAUUGCACUCUGCAACUCGAGUGCAUGAAGCUGGAAUCGCUAGUAAUCGCGGAUCAGCAUGCCGCGGUGAAUACGUUCCCGGGUCUUGUACACACCGCCCGUCACACCAUGGGAGUGGGUUUUACCAGAAGUGGCUAGUCUAACCGCAAGGAGGACGGUCACCACGGUAGGAUUCAUGACUGGGGUGAAGUCGUAACAAGGUAGCCGUAUCGGAAGGUGCGGCUGGAUCACCUCCUUUCCAGAGCUAUCUCGCGAAGUUGAGCGCUCACGCUUAUCGGCUGUAAAUUUAAAGACAGACUCAGGGGUCUGUAGCUCAGUCGGUUAGAGCACCGUCUUGAUAAGGCGGGGGUCGUUGGUUCGAAUCCAACCAGACCCACCAUUGUCUGGCGGUAGGUACCUGAGGUCAUCUGUACUCAAUGGGGGCAUAGCUCAGCUGGGAGAGCACCUGCUUUGCAAGCA